rnacentral:rRNA from 1 species
UACGUAGGGGGCGAGCGUUGUCCGGAAUUAUUGGGCGUAAAGAGCUCGUAGGCGGUUUGUCGCGUCUGCUGUGAAAACUUGGGGCUUAACCCUGAGCUUGCGGUCGAUACGGGCAUGACUGGAGUUCGGCAGGGGAGACUGGAAUUCCUGGUGUAGCGGUGAAAUGCGCAGAUAUCAGGAGGAACACCGGUGGCGAAGGCGGGUCUCUGGGCCGAUACUGACGCUGAGGAGCGAAAGCGUGGGGAGCGAACAGG